GAGUUUGAUCCUGGCUCAGAUUGAACGCUGGCGGCAGGCUUAACACAUGCAAGUCGAGCGGGGGAGGUUACUUCGGUAACUGACCUAGCGGCGGACGGGUGAGUAAUGCUUAGGAAUCUGCCUAUUAGUGGGGGACAACAUUCCGAAAGGAAUGCUAAUACCGCAUACGUCCUACGGGGGAAAGCAGGGGAUCUUCGGACCUUGCGCUAAUAGAUGAGCCUAAGUCGGAUUAGCUAGUUGGUGGGGUAAAGGCCUACCAAGGCGACGAUCUGUAGCGGGUCUGAGAGGAUGAUCCGCCACACUGGGACUGAGACACGGCCCAGACUCCUACGGGAGGCAGCAGUGGGGAAUAUUGGACAAUGGGCGGAAGCCUGAUCCAGCCAUGCCGCGUGUGUGAAGAAGGCCUUUUGGUUGUAAAGCACUUUAAGCGAGGAGGAGGCUCCUUUAGUUAAUACCUAAAGAGAGUGGACGUUACUCGCAGAAUAAGCACCGGCUAACUCUGUGCCAGCAGCCGCGGUAAUACAGAGGG
rnacentral:rRNA from 1 species